GCUGAUUCUUGGGGCAAUGGACCAUCCAAGUAUGCUAACAGGCUUCUGAUUCCACCCUCUGACACAACUGAUCUUCGGAGAUCAUCAUUUCCAGAAGUUAGAUUUUGCAAGCAUUCAGCUGCAUACUCUUUCGAUCCCAACAGUAUUCCACAAUCUAGGAGAUUCAUCAUAAGUUUAAUGAUGCCUUCUUCAGCUAGAGCUUGUCGAACUUCAGGAACAGCAGAUAUAUUUUUCAGGGUACAAGCAGCAGCCGCCUGAGAAACAGAAUCACCAGUUCGGCAGAUCUCGAUUAGAGGCCUAAUCCCACCAUGUCCAACAAUAGAACGAGCUGUUUCUGCUGUCAUAGACAAUCUCUGGAGAGAAAUGGUGGCCUUCUCUUUGCUCACAGUUGUACCAGAUUCAACAAGACGUAUAAGAGGAGGGAGGACACCUUCUGAAACCAGCCAAUUCUCACAACUCCCAGAU
rnacentral:misc_RNA from 1 species